GUCUCACACCCUAUCCCACCCCUCAUAAACUUGCCAAGUGUCCUUUUAUUAACCCAAUCCUGAAACAACCCAACUCGAACCAUGUUUAAUUAUUUAACCGAUUAAUCGGGUUGAGAAACUUAAUCACACAAAACCAAAAUCCAUUAAACUAAAAACCCAAAAAACAAAAUUAAAGAUUAAACAAGGCACAAAAAAAAAACCCCCACAAGGCCACGAUUCUGGUUUCCCAUCAGAUUUCACUCCUCCUCAAAAGCUUCCGUCAGAUAUCACUCAUCAGCUCAUCAGAGAUCACUCACAAUUCAAAUGCCUGGUGGCAUGAUUUCGGCUGAUGAUCAUAUGCUAUGUCCUUCGUCACGAAGUCGAAGGAAAUCUGAUGGUGGAAUCGUGCACCGUGUGAAAGCACAAAAAUCACCGUUCUUAACCGAGACUCAGGUUGUGCUCCAUCUCGGAACCUUGUGGGGUUAGGAGUAAAGCAUCCCAAGGUUAGCGCAUCUCUAAUAGCGUGGAGAAACAUUGGGAACCCCAAUUUCGUGGUCAUUCUCCGGAGCCCUUUCUUCAGGUUAUGAGUGAUCAAUGGGCAAUUGGACGAAGCUCCCCACCUGUUCGAUCAAAUGCCUAGGCGUCAUGAAUCAUUUUUUUCAUGCUAUUUCGGUAUGAAGAUUUUGUGAAGUCCUUUCACUAUGAAGUUUUCAACAUGUCUCCAAGAGGUCUUAUAAAUUGUGGAAACAGUUGUUAUGCCAAUGCUGUAUUGCAGUGUCUGACCUGCACAAAGCCUCUCCUUCUGUUUCUGCUUCAGAGAUUGCAUUCUAGAGCUUGUUACGAUUGGUUUGAUUUACAAUGUCUUGCUUUUGCAUUCUAGAGACUUCCGAAGUAAAUUCUGCUUCAGAGAUUGCAUUCUAGGGGUUCAUGUUAUUUCGAUCCACUACUAUUACUGAAUAAGGGGUUGGCAUGCUUCCCUUCAAUGUUCGCGUGUUUAAAGCAUAUAUUGUUGCAGUAUCUUUGAGAGAGACUAGAGCUAUGCAGACUCAAGUUAAUUGUGUGUGAGAUCGUUAGCCUUUUGCUUUGAUUGUAAGAUGAUAAGUGAAAUCCCAAAUAUCUGGGAAGGUGUUGUGGAUAUUCCCCUUGUCUGAUUAAGUGCAGCUAAGAUGUUAUUUCAUGU